rnacentral:rRNA from 1 species
UACAGAGGGGGCAAGCGUUGUUCGGAAUUACUGGGCGUAAAGGGCGCGUAGGCGGCCUUCUAAGUCGAACGUGAAAUCCCCGGGCUCAACCCGGGAACUGCGUCCGAUACUGGAAGGCUUGAGACCGGGAGAGGUGAGUGGAAUUCCCAGUGUAGCGGUGAAAUGCGUAGAUAUUGGGAGGAACACCAGUGGCGAGGGCGGCUCACUGGACCGGAACUGACGCUGAGGCGCGAAAGCGUGGGUAGCAAACAGG